GUCUGUCUCUGAGGCGGGUGAGAUGCCAGCUGUCCAGGUGCACGUGUGCUGGUCAAAAACACAGGCUGGGUAGAGACCCGCUUCCUGGCAAGGUGGGGAUCCUGUCCGACAGGAUAUAUUGUGCCGAGGCUUUGUGGACUCCAGGACCGCCCCCCGCCAUUGCUGCGACGCAGUGACCUGGGGGCGGCGCCCACCUCCAAGGGCCGGGAUCUCGAGCCGGAUGGAGCCCUCUGUCACUUCUGCUCAGGUUUUCCAGGGUCCCGCAGCUGCAGCUGACUAGCCACCCGCGCCUCC
rnacentral:lncRNA from 1 species